UGUUUAUUAAUUUAAAAAAAAUAUUAAAUUGCAAAUUUAAAAUUUCUUAAGAGAAUAAGCUU
rnacentral:tRNA from 1 species